rnacentral:tRNA from 1 species
UAGCUCAGUGGCACAGCACCUGCCUAGCAAGCAUGAGGUCCUGAGUUCAAUUCCCAG